GCUGUGUUUGAUUAGGGAAGCUGCAAAAAUAGCCGACCGCUCUUCGCGAAAACCCGAUGAUUUAACGCCUUUAAAAGUAUCGACACAAGAUUCAUGACGGGAAAAUGUUUUAGGGAAGCUCGCAGUUCGAGUUGUGUUCAAAGUUUUUCCAAAUUCCAAUGUAAUGCAAUGAUCACGCGCACUGUCUAGCAGUCAUAAUCACAGAGUGACCAUCAUAAAGCGAAAGAUGAGGACCAUGGACACCGAUAUAUUAUAUAUACUUAGACAGCACAGGUGCAAGCUCGAUUAACAUACGUCGUCCACGCGAUAUUAUUGUACGUGCUUCAAGAGAAAAGAGUGGUUGUUUCGUCAAAUAGAAACAUUAAAUUCAAACAUGAAACUUGCUGCAGCCAUUCAGAAUGGUUGUCGAUGACGAGCCUCAAAUUCAAACCCGAUGUAAGCGCACGAUGUGAGGACUUGGCGACGGAACAAAGUGUGUAGCUCAGGGGCACACAUCCCAAAAACAUAGCUAUAUAUUUGGCGAAGAGAAACUCUAUGUUCUUGGACAUGCUUUUGUAUUGUCUGCGUUUGAUGGAAUAGCCUACAUUUUUAGCUGGAUCAAUUUUUCGUCCUCUCUAAGUGUGUGAAUCGACUUUUUAUACAGAUAUCAUGUGCACUACUGAUAUGCCGAAACGUGUUCACUUUACAGUAAAAGUUUUUGUAAAAUAAAAACAAUAAAACACG